CCUACGGGCGGCAGCAGUGAGGAAUAUUGGUCAAUGGACGAGAGCCUGAACCAGCCAAGUAGCGUGAAGGAUGACUGCCCUAUGGGUUGUAAACUUCUUUUAUAUGGGAAUAAAAUGUUCCACGUGUGGGAUUUUGUAUAUACCAUAUGAAUAAAGCACGGCUAACUCCGUGCCAGCCGCCGCGGUAAUACGGAGGGUCCGCGCGUUUUCCGGAUUUUUUGGGUUUAAAGGGAGCGUAGGUGGAUGGGUAAGUCCGUUGUGAAAGUUUGCGGCGCAACCGUAAAAUUGCAGUUGAAACUGGCAGUCUUGAGUACAGGAGAGGUGUGCGGAAUGCGUGGUGUAGCGGUGAAAUGCUUAGAUAUCACGAAGAACCCCGAUUGCGAAGGCAGCUCACUGGAUUGCAACUGACACUGAGGCUCGAAAGUGUGGGUAUCAAACAGGAUUAGAUACCCUAGUAGUC
rnacentral:rRNA from 1 species